AAGCGCCUUGAAUAUAUUAGCAUGGAAUAAUACUAUAGGAUCUUGGUUCUAUUUUGUUGGUUUCUAGAACUAAGGUAAUGAUUAAUAGGGACAAUUGGGGGCAUUCGUAUCGGCGCGUCAGAGGUGGAAUUCUUGGAUUGCGUUGCGACGAACUACUGCGAAAGCAUUUGCCAAGGAUGUUUUCAUUGAUCAAGAACGAAAGUAAGGGGAUCGAAGACGAUUAGAUACCGUCGUAGUCUUUACCAUAAACUAUGCCAACUAGAGAUGGGACAUCGUCUACUUACGACUUGUUCCGCACCUUAUGAGAUAUCAAAGUCUUUGGGUUCCGGGGGGAGUAUGGUCGCAAGUCUGAAACUUAAAGGAAUUGACGGAAGGGCACCACCAGGAGUGGAGCCUGCGGCUUAAUUUGACUCAACACGGGGAAACUCACCAGGUCCAGACAUAAUAAGGAUUGACAGAUUGAUAGCUCUUUCUUGAUUUUAUGGGUGGUGGUGCAUGGCCGUUCUUAGUUCGUGGAGUGAUUUGUCUGCUUAAUUGCGUUAACGAACGAGACCUUAACCUGCUAAAUAGGAGCGCAUAUCUUCGGAUAAGCGCCUUUCUUCUUAGAGGGACCUUAUGCGUUUCAGCAUGAGGAAGUUUGAGGCUAAAACAGGUCUGUGAUGCCCUUCGAUGUUCUGGGCUGCACGCGCGCUACACUGAUGCGUUCAACGAGUGUACAACCUUGCCCGAUAGGGUUGGGUAACCUUUUGAACACGCAUCGUGAUGGGGAUAGAUUAUUGCAAUUAUUAAUCUUCAACGAGGAAUUCCUAGUAAUGAUGGAUCAUCAGUUCAUCGUGAUUACGUCCCUGCCCUUUGUACACACCGCCCGUCGCUCCUACCGAUUGAGCAAUCCGGUGAAUAUUUCGGACCGGCACUCUGCGGGGCAACUCGUUUGAGAACUGGAAAGUCAAGUUAACCUUAUCGCUUAGAGGAAGGAGAAGUCGUAACAAGGUUUCCGUAG
rnacentral:rRNA from 1 species